AUCAACUCAAGAACGUCAGAGCUACUUGGCUUAAAUUGACUCCAUAGAUAACGUUUUCCACUUGAACUUUUAGUCCUAUAUUAUAAGCUGUUUCAAGUGUGAAAACGAGGUAGUUGCCCCCACGUCUUUCUAAAUCCAUGUGGGUCUCAAAAUAGCAAUUUUAAAACCAAGGGACAUGACUAAGCCAGUUUGAAGAUAUCAAAACCAUGCUUACGAAGAACAAGCUUGAUAAUUUGUGGUUGUUACAGCAAGAUUUUUAACAUGGAAUAAUCCUAAAUGAUUCUAGUAAUCUUCAAGUUUAUGUUGCUAAUUUGUUAGCGGCGUAUGGGCUUUGGGUUUUGCGGCUCCACCUUUUGAGAGCGACGACCCCAUUAAGUCUCAUCAAAUUCGAAGUUGGGAAGACAUGGAAGCAUGCCUUGAACAAUAUUAAUAUUAUUCCUGCGAGAUUCUCUUUGCUUUUCAUCAUGGUGUCUUCCACUAGUGAAUGGAGGAAGAAGAUUAGGAAGAAGACAACUAAUUUGCAAUAUAAACAGUUUAGUUGAAAUGGGUUCUCGAAAUGAGACCAAAAAAAUUACAGACAUCACUCAAAAUUCUUGUACAUAAUUCAAUCCAGUAAGUUGAAUGAAGCCCAUGAAGGAUUUGCCUUAGCAUACCGAGCUGAGAAAGAGCGAUGAAGAUUAUCAGGCUCUGCCCAUCCUGUUCCUUGAUCAAAAUUCUGAGAGUAUGCAUCAGGGUCAUAAGAAGCCUGCAAUGUAACUGGAUAGCGAAAAACUUUCUUCCUUUCUCCUCUUAUUUUCUUCCAAAUGCUUCUCCAUCUUGAAUUGGAGCCCUCCUUGUAUUUAUGUUGGCUGUAACUCCGGCCUAAAUGGAUGGUUUCUGGGGCUGCGCCGGCCCAGUUUUGCCACAUUUUGAUUCCCAUAAGUAGACAAGGAGAAAUCUUUCUGCAGCUUAAAGAUUAUACUUAUGUACAAAUGACUACAAAUUGAACUUCGGAGUUUGGCUUGGCUUUAAAAAGUGGGGAAAAAAUCUGGGAAAUGUUUAUCUGCAGAAAAUGAGACCAUUAGUUUCAAUAAAAAGUUGUAUGAAGUUCAGAAUUUUUCAGGAAAAUGAAGUGUGGCUUAGCAGCUCAGACGCAUUGCAGCAGCCAGAAGCUCUAAAUAAAGGCAACAUGAGGACCACGCCAGCGAGACUUUGGCGAAAGUUUUAUGGUCAAAUAGCCGAAAGGGUCUUACUUUGCAGGCCGCGUACAAGAGUAAGUUGAAUGAGAAUAUUAAAUUGACUGGAUUUUUAAGCUUUAGUAUGCUGUGGAGAAAAAGAUAUUGUAUUAUUAAAGUUAGGGCGGAAGUUUCCAAUGACAAAAAUUGUAAAAAUUGAACAUAUGAUUGAGCUUAAAAUAUACUUUCACCUAUGUCGAUUGCAUCUGAAA